UACGUAGGCAGCAAGCGUUGUUCGGAAUUACUGGGCGUAAAGAGUGUGUAGGCGGUGCUCUAAGUCUGUUGUGAAAUCGCCCGGCUCAACUGGGCGGGGUCAGCGGAUACGGCCGAGCUUGAGCAAGCUAGGGGGCAAUGGAAUUCCCGGUGUAGUGGUGGAAUGCGUAGAUAUCGGGAGGAACACCAGUGGCGAAGGCGGUUGCCUGGGGCUUUGCUGACGCUGAUGCGCGAAAGCGUGGGGAGCGAUCCGG
rnacentral:rRNA from 1 species